UGUACUUUCAUUUGGCCCCAUACCACCUACUCACUUCACUUUCUAUCCUCUAGCGUCUCGCCCGUCUCAGAAAACCGCGGGAAUUCAAGGUCUGCUUACAGUCAAUAUAAGACAAUCAAACAAUUCAACCUUUAGUUGACAGUCUCAACAGAAUCCCUUCUCAAAUCCAUAACCGAUUCUUUGAUUUCUAACCAUUCAGAAAUAUACCGGUCAACGGUUUCACUCUCUAACAAACAAUUAUUCCCCGUUCAGAUGCCAAUUUCGAUCCCCGCAAUUUUAGGGUUCCAAUUCUCUUAUGUGCCUCCCCGUCUAUCCUGCUUUACUGCCGUCACUGUCUUUCGUCACCGUCCAAUCACAAUGCAGCAAGGGCUGUAAUGCUUUAGCCUCUUACUGCGUUUGGCAAGGCCCAAUCUUCACCUUCAUUGCUCAAACCCUGCAUUCAACUCUUAUUGAACCGUCAGAUGUCGAUUUCAAUGUGAUAUUAAGUUACAACAAUAACAUAACCAACAAAGACAGUCUCCCUGCCGAUGUAAGAAUCAACGUCCCAUUCCCCUAUGAUUGCAUCAAUGGUGAAUUCCUCGGCCACGUGUUCUGGUGACACUUACGAUGAGAUUGCCCACGGAGUGUUUGAGAAGUGUUAAUAACUAUGAUACCUAUGGGAUUCCUGACACUGGGACUCUUAAUGUGACAGUGAAUUGCUGAUUUUGACUUAAUUAUUGGAAAAUGUAGGAUCUUUAUGGAAUUAAGAAGGCGAAUAUGUUUCCCUGACAAGAUGAAAAUGGUGUCUAUCCAGCCCUCAAGUCGUUGUGUACAGUGUUUCUUGUGACAGUGUAUUAGGAGGAAUGCCAAUGAUUGCCUAUUAGGGAAGAAACAAAAGGCAAUGCUGAUGAUUUUUUUUGUGUCUUCAGGGAGGGAUCCUCUAACAUGGUCUUCUAGGGUGAAAAUUGCACAUAAUUCCACAAAAGGCCUUGAAAUGUAUUCAUGAACACACAGUUCCUUUUUAUAUCCAUCACGACAUAAAAGCAGCAAUUAUAUUAAUAGACAAGAACUACCAUGCAAAGGUUACGGUUGUGUCUCAGUAGCCAAGGUGACAUCUGAGAGCCUGUCACAUUGUGUUACUGAAUAAUUUGUGUUGCAGGUUGCAGAUUUUGGAUGAACAAAAGUGACUGAAGUUGAAAGUGCAUCACUUCCCACACCUCUUGUGGGCACAUUUGGAUACAUGCCUCCAGACCCUGAUCUGAAUCAAAUAUAUGACCCAAGGAGCCAAGGCCCUUUACAUGAAUGUUUAGUAACUAUAAGAUGUUAAUCUGAGCUAUAGUUCUGAGAAGGGACGCAAUCAAGGUGAACUGAGCCAGAUUUUACUGCAUUUAAGCUUAGCUCAAUUUGUUCAUUACCUCAUAAAAGCUAGAGCUUUAGCUGAGCCUAGAAAAUACGUUCAAGUUUAUUUCCGCUGAAUUGAAGUUAAAAAGCCUGUGAAGGUGACUAUUGAAUUAUGUGUUCUUGCCGGUAUAGACUGUUAUGCUAUUUAUCCAUGAUUUAGAGCUUUCUUUGUUGGCUUUUAACUUAAAAUGUAUUCAUGUUUGAGCUUUUAGGUUCUGAAAUUUGAUUAUUCUUUGUUGUAUUAGUUACUGCAACAAAAAGGGAAUUGGUUCAUUUCAAAAGAUGAGCUUGGCUUUUACCGUCUCCAAAAGAUGUAUUUCUUGUUAAAAGAAGUGAUUAAACUGUUGGCAUGCUUGUGCAGAUAUGCCCAAUAUGGUGAUGUUUCUCCCAAGACAGAUGUAUAUGCCUUCAGGGUUGUCCUCUAUGAACUUACUUUUUCCAAAGGAGCCAUAGUCCAGGCAAUGGUUCUGCUGCUGAAUCAAAGGGCCUUGUUGCUUUGUUUGAUGAUCUGAAUUUACCUGGUCCUAUAGAGGAUCUGCAUAAACUUAUUGACCCUGGGCUUGGUGAUAACUAUCCAUUUGACUCAGUCUGAGAACAUUUUUGGGGAAAAUAUGUUAUGAUUCUGUUUUAUGUUUUCUGAUUUGUAACCUUGGUGCCUUUAUUUACUGCAGAUGUCUCAGCUUGCUAAGUAUGUUCCCAAAAAAGUCCGCAACCAUGUCCUAGUAUGAGAUCCAUUAUUUUUGUGCUUUCCUCUACAACAGAGGAUUGGGAUAUCUGCUUCUUCUAUGAAAAUUAUGCCCUAGUCUAAGGUCAGGAAGGUUGAGAAAAUGCUGUCAUACUUAUGAAUAAUUACCUACCAAGUAAUUCCACUGUUUCUCAUUUUUUGUAAGGCCAAA